rnacentral:rRNA from 1 species
UACGGAGGGUGCAAGCGUUAUCCGGAUUCACUGGGUUUAAAGGGUGCGUAGGUGGGUCUGUAAGUCAGUGGUGAAAUCCCCGAGCUUAACUUGGGAACUGCCGUUGAUACUAUCUGUCUUGAAUAUUGUGGAGGUGAGCGGAAUAUGUCAUGUAGCGGUGAAAUGCUUAGAUAUGACAUAGAACACCAAUUGCGAAGGCAGCUCACUACACAAUCAUUGACUCUGAGGCACGAAAGCGUGGGGAUCAAACAGG